rnacentral:sRNA from 1 species
GUUAGAGGAAUACAGUCUAAGUUCGCGUCAUCGUGUUGCAACGCCUGCAUGACCUGCAUCCUGCAGG